CAGUGAGGAAUAUUGGUCAAUAGCCUAAGCGGCUGAACCAGCAACUUGGAGGAAUGUACAGGGAAAACUGGUAAAAUGUGAUGUACCUGAUAAUAUUAGUGAUUAAUAUGAAAUUAACUAAGUUAAUUAAAAUUCAAAGUAGAUAUGUGAUUAUGACAAUAUUUGCUUAUUUCUUGACCAAGUCACGUGCCAGCAGUCGCGGUAAUACGUGGAAGAUAAGUGUUAUUCAUCUUUAUUAGGUUUAAAGGGUACCUAGACGGUUAAUUAAGCAUAUAAGUGUACUAAUUAUUAACUAGAGUUUAAUGUAAGAAGGAUUGAGUACGGUGAGUGAAGAGAUAAAAUUCUGUCAUACCACUUAGGAACUGGUAAAGGCGAAGGCAACCUUUUAUGUAAAAACUGACGUUGAGGGACGAAGGCUCGUAUUAAGUAAUAGGAUUAGAGACCCUAGUAUUGUGGGCAGACAAUGAUGAGUGUCAUAUGCAAGAAAAGUUUUUGUGUAUAAAUGAAAGUGUAAGCAUUCCACCUCAAGAGUAACGUGGCAACAUGGGAACUGAAAUCAUUAGACCGUUUCUGAAACUCGUAGUGAAGUAUGUUGUUUAAUUUGAUAAUCCUCAAAUAACCUUACCACAAUUUGUAUUACUAGUAUGUAUUUGUAUUAGUAACAAGCGUUGCACGGCUGUCUUCAGUCAAUGUUGUGAAACUUUGGUUAGAUCCAUUAAAUUGACGUAUACCCUUGCUUUAUUUGUUAUAAAGCAGUUCGCCGCUAUAUUGGUAAUGAUAUAAGGACCAAGACAAGUCAUCANGGCCUUU
rnacentral:rRNA from 1 species